GACGAACGCUGGCGGCGUGCUUAACACAUGCAAGUCGAACGAUGAAGCCCAGCUUGCUGGGUGGAUUAGUGGCGAACGGGUGAGUAACACGUGAGUAACCUGCCCUGGACUCUGGGAUAAGCGUUGGAAACGACGUCUAAUACCGGAUAGGACCCUGUACCGCAUGGUGUGGGGUGGAAAGUUUUUCGGUUUGGGAUGGACUCGCGGCCUAUCAGCUUGUUGGUGAGGUAAUGGCUCACCAAGGCGUCGACGGGUAGCCGGCCUGAGAGGGUGACCGGCCACACUGGGACAGAGACACGGCCCACACUCCGACGGGAGGCAGGAGUGGGGAGUAUUGCACAAUGGGCGCAAGCCUGAUGCAGCAACGCCGCGUGCGGGAUGACGGCCUUCGGGUCGUAAACCUCUUUCAGUACCGACGAAGCGAGAGUGACGGUAGGUACAGAAGAAGGACCGGCCAACUACGUGCCAGCAGCCGCGGUAAAAC
rnacentral:rRNA from 1 species